GAUGUGUGUCUCUCUUUCUCACUCACUUACACCGCACACUGCCUCACUCAUGCUCAUUGACGCUAUACUCUCCUCUCUAAGUCACAAACCCACACCUCUACUCCUCUUUGCCGUCACCAUCCAGCAACCACCAUCAUUCUCAGUCUCUCAGCACCGUCAUUCUCAGUCUCUCUGCAUCGCUUAGCGCCAUAGAUUUCACUGUUAGAACCUGAGAAUUUGAGCAACUGAGCGAGCCCCUCUUCCUGCACCUUUCGUCUCCGACAAUCGCUGUGCCGUCGUGCUCCAACCAUUUGGGCCUUCGUCUCUGGUUUUUGGUUUGUUGUCGUUGAAGUCAUGUUAUUCGUUCGCCCAUUCGUCUGCCUCGUUGAAGCUGUGACGUAGACAUCUCCCUCGUAGCCACUGACGCACUGUCGUAUCUCCAUUUCUAACCCCGUCAUCUCCGUCGUCUCACCAUCCAACGUCUCUGUCGUCCUCCCCUGCAUCUGGAAACUUUGCUAAACUUUUAAUUAUUUGUUUUUUCGUUAUGAUAUUUUGCUAAUUUACUCUAAUUCUUUUUCUAAUUUUUAGUUCUUUUCUGAUUCUUCCUCAUGAGUUUUUGUCUAGGAUUUUGGAUCUGAUUAUUUCCUGAUUCUGAUUAUAUGUUGUAUUCUAAUUUUUUAUUAUAAUUUUUUAUGAUUAUUUUUUGGGUUUUUAUUUUUUAUUUAGGGUUUUUUUAUGUUUUAGUAUCUAUGAAUUAGAUUCUGUUUUGAUUUUUUUUCUGUUCUGGCAUCUGGGAUUUUGAUUCAUAGUACCCUAGAUAUGAUUUGAUUAUUAGAAUAGGAUAUGUUUUCAAAACAAUUUAAAAAUCGAACAAACUGAACUAAACCAAAUCGAACCGCAUUAUUAAUAUAAAAUUGGAUCAGAUGGCUUUUUCUUAGAAAACCGAACCAAACUGCACCGCGAACACCCCUACCAACCAAUAGUAGAAAAUUGUUGGAUUUCAUCCUGAUUCAUUGUGGAAAAGGUAAGUUUCCUCUUAACCCUUGUGAUUUAGUGUAAUUUUGAACCCUAGGUAUUAAUUGUGGUAAAAUUAACUGUGUAUAGCUUGAAAAUUGUGAUUAUUGGAGCUUUUAGAUUGUGUUUGGUGGCUUGUUGGAUUUGGAAACUUUGUGGAAGCUUGAUUGGAAUUAAUUUGGUGAAGUUGAGCAUAUUGGGAAUCGGCCAAGAUACAGGUUGCAGCCCACCUCGGUGAGUUUGCGGGAUGGUGACAGAACGGAGGAUCGCUUGUUAUCUUUUUGUAUUUUGGUUAUUUGAUAUAGUAGCUCUCACUUUUGUAUAUUGUAUCUUGAUGCCUUAGAGGCUUAUCUUGAGAGUUCGGAUGUUGCUGUUUUAUUUCAAAACUCUGUUAUGUCUGUAUUAACUAGUUGGCCUAAACUCUGCGAGCUGCGGCUAGUAUUCUUUUGGUUAUUAUAUAUAUAUAUAUCUUGCAUAUCUUAUCCUUUACGGUUGUA